GUCCACGCCGUAAACGAUGUCUACUAGCUGUUCGUGGUCUUGUACUGUGAGUAGCGCAGCUAACGCACUAAGUAGACCGCCUGGGGAGUACGGUCGCAAGAUUAAAACUCAAAUGAAUUGACGGGGCCGCACAAGCGGUGGAGCAUGUGGUUUAAUUCGACGCAACGCGAAGAACCUUACCUACUCUUGACAUCUAGCGAAGAUUGUAGAGAUACGAUUGUGCCUUCGGAACGCUAGACAGGUGCUGCAUGGCUGUCGU
rnacentral:rRNA from 1 species